CUCGUAUAUAAGUGCAACGAGAAUCGGAUUCGUAAAUGUGUACACUUAACAUUCGAACAUAUCGUAUAUUCAUCGUAUUAGAUGUUAAAACCAAGUAAAAUACGAUUAAAUUACGAUAUGUUUAAUGAAGUCGUAUUUAGUACGACCGAUGCGAAAUGAAACCAAAUUAUAAUCGCAUAAGAUUUUUUAAGACGCAUUUUAUUCAUACACAUUCGACUAACGCACCAACAUCGUCAUUGAGUACAGAAUGAUUCGUAAAAAAUAACACAUAAGCGUCAGUCAUCAGGUCACUGGUAUAUUAUCAUCGCAUAAAAUGACAAUUUAAUGCCGCUUAGUCAUACGGCAAAAGUUUUGAUUUCUCGUGCAACCAUCAUCGCAUAAAACUCGUUCUGAAGUAGCAAUAUUGAAAUGAAAAAAAAAACAACUUCAGUGUUUUCGAUUGUCUUUCUCCCAUUAUUUAAUUGUUCGUUUUUGUUCAGUGCAUAGUUUCGCAGAAAAACAAAUAAAAACAGCACUUGUGAUUAAAUUUUGUGCACAAAAUCAUGAUUAGUUUUGGACAGUUUUUCUAUAGUAAUAGGACGAAUUUCCAAUCUAAAAAUUGCAGUGCGAUUGGCCAUAUCAUGACAGCAACAUCGAAAGUUGCCAGGAAUCGGUGCAGGAGCCCGGGAGGAUAGUCGUGUUAACUGCAACAGGAAGGGUUGCGAAAUUACAGGUGGUCAAGUUGGACCUUUCUGGUCUUAGCCGUCUUAGGACAACCACAAAUAAAAAAAAAGAAUUUACUGGUUUACCAUUGCUGCCUAUCCACCAGAAAACAACGAAGAAUGCUCCGAAACAAUAAGCAGCAGGAAAAGGACAGGCCCAGAUCGAUUAAACUCCUGAACCGCCCUGGGAGGCCUGAACUGGAGGGAAGGCAAACUGUUUACCGAAUAGUAUUUCUUUGCUUCCGGAGGUAUUUUGCAACAACAGAAUAACAAUCAUCAUUCGCUUCUUCCUACGACUCCAGCUUGACAAUGAAAGCAACAAUAAUACGUUCGCGAAAAAAAUAAACCAUAAAGCACUCUCGUGUUUCCGGAGCUGAACAGAAUUGAUAGCUCGUUGUUGAUUCCAUUAUGACCGCAACGGCGCAACACCAAGAUGUACUGUACAUAUGGAUAAAUCAGGAAAAUAGGCAGCCUGGAAUGCCCCUGAGUCCUCUCCUCCCCAUGACCCCAGAAAGAUGCUGCCAACAGUAGUUCCCAAGGGACGAAUUGGUCAUCAAUAUUCCAAAUGAAUUCCACUGAGGGAAUCGAGGCCAUAUUUUAGAUAUUUUUAAACUUAAGGAAGAGAAGAUAGUGCGAAACUAAAAACUGCUCGAGGAUUCGUUGGAAUGUGAUGGUACCGAGAUCGACACAAUAAGAUUAACGUUACUAUUGGGCGUUUUUUCGGUUAACCAUUUGGAAGGACCUGACCAAGUCUUGAGGUACAAGACGGAUUCGAAGGGCACAUUGCAAGUGAAUCGAUCGCUACUGGCCCUCCAAUGGUCCGGGCAUUUCCGCUAUACAGCCGGAAGACAUUGAUAGAGAUGAGCGGCCAACAUCGGUAAAGCCAUCGGGAAAGCAGUGAGCGGAAAAAGAUCCUGGUUCGAUAAGGCCAUAUAUUGUGUAAAGAAAUUGAAAAUGGUG